UGGGGAAUAUUGGACAAUGGGCGAAAGCCUGAUCCAGCCAUGCCGCGUGUGUGAAGAAGGUCUUCGGAUUGUAAAGCACUUUAAGUUGGGAGGAAGGGCAGUAAAUUAAUACUUUGCUGUUUUGACGUUACCGACAGAAUAAGCACCGGCUAACUCUGUGCCAGCAGCCGCGGUAAUACAGAGGGUGCAAGCGUUAAUCGGAAUUACUGGGCGUAAAGCGCGCGUAGGUGGUUCGUUAAGUUGGAUGUGAAAUCCCCGGGCUCAACCUGGGAACUGCAUUCAAAACUGACGAGCUAGAGUAUGGUAGAGGGUGGUGGAAUUUCCUGUGUAGCGGUGAAAUGCGUAGAUAUAGGAAGGAACACCAGUGGCGAAGGCGACCACCUGGACUGAUACUGACACUGAGGUGCGAAAAGCGUGG
rnacentral:rRNA from 1 species